GUGAAAACUCACAGCUUAACUGUGGGCGUGCGGGCGAUACGGGCAGACUAGAGUACUGCAGGGGAGACUGGAAUUCCUGGUGUAGCGGUGGAAUGCGCAGAUAUCAGGAGGAACACCGGUGGCGAAGGCGGGUCUCUGGGCAGUAACUGACGCUGAGGAGCGAAAGCGUGGGGAGCGAACAGGAUUAGAUACCCUGGUAGUCCACGCCGUAAACGGUGGGUACUAGGUGUGGGUUUCCUUCCUUGGGAUCCGUGCCGUAGCUAACGCAUUAAGUACCCCGCCUGGGGAGUACGGCCGCAAGGCUAAAACUCAAAGGAAUUGACGGGGGCCCGCACAAGCGGCGGAGCAUGUGGAUUAAUUCGAUGCAACGCGAAGAACCUUACCUGGGUUUGACAUGCACAGGACGCCGGCAGAGAUGUCGGUUCCCUUGUGG
rnacentral:rRNA from 1 species